AUCCACAUGUGGCCCCGCGCCAUUCGCACCCAGCUGACGAUUGCUCGCUACGUUGUGUUAGCC
rnacentral:sRNA from 3 species